GAGCUUCACCAGCUGGAGACAGCAUUGGCAAGGAGAGCUUCCAAUAGGAUAUGAGCGCUGAUGCUUCUCAUCAAAACCCUGCGCCUGAGCCUGACGAUCGGAACCAUCAGAACGCAAGGAGGCAAAGGUCUGAUGGAUCAAAGGGGACCCACCGGUUUGAUGCUAACCUACUGGAGGAAGGGAGGUCGUCUCGUCCGCUCAGAGGGAGCCAUUAUGAUUCUCAUAUUAAAGUCAUGGAAACUGAGUCCCGGAGAGUUAAGGAACCUGCCCACGUCUACAGAGAUGAGGUUGAAACAGAACCCAAAGCAAGGGGGAAGUCACACGGAGGAGUGCAGCUGGGAGACCAUCGGCUAACACCUUGGUGAGCCUUUUUCUGUGUGCCCUCAGUGUUCUGAAAUCGUCCAUGCAUUUAACUCAGUCCACCCUCCCUUUCUAAAAGCUUUGUACUUUGUGAUAAAUCACUUCCAUGAAUACCAGUGGGAAGGAACAAAGGGGCCCUCAAACACACACCUACAGAAAUGUAGGUCCUUUUUUUUUUGGCCUCGCCUGUGCUAUGUGGAAGUUCCCAGGCCAGGGACCGAACCUGUGCCACAUCAGCGAUCCAAGCAGCUGCAAUGACAAUACCAGAUUCUUAACCCACAGUGCCACAAGAGAACUCUGGUGCAGUCUCCUUUGAAGGCAAUUUGGCAACAUCUAUUGAAAUUUAAAAUUCACAUUGUGUUUACACCCAGAAAUUCCACUUCUAAGUAUUAAACUGGACCAAGAAGUAUGUACAGAGAUAUUCAUGGUAGCAAGAUCCGUAAUAGCCAAGGAUUAGAAACAUCCUAAAUAUUUAUCAUUAGGAAUGCUAGGGGAAUGUUAAAAAAUAGAGCAAAUGGGGAGUUCCCAUCGUGGCGCAGCAGAAACGGAUCCGACUAGGAACCAUGAGGUUGCAGGUUCGAUCCCUGGCCUUGCUCAGUGGGUUAAGGAUCCGGCAUUGCCGUGAGCUGUGGUGUAGGUCACAGACGAGGCUCAGAUCUGGCGUUGCUGUGGCUGUGGUGUAGGCUGGUAGUCGUAGCUCCAAUUAGUCCCCUAGCCUAGGAACCUCCAUAUGCUGUAGGUGCGCCCCUAAAAAGCCAAAAAAAAACAACCCCCAACAUAGUUAUAGAUAUAGAGAACAGGUGGUUGCCAGAGAGGAGGAAGUUGUUGGGGAGGAAAAAAAUAAGUGAGGGAGAUUAAGAGGUACAAACUUCCAGUUGCAAAAUAAAUGAGUCACAUGUAUGAAAUGAACA
rnacentral:lncRNA from 1 species